rnacentral:rRNA from 1 species
UACGGAGGGUGCGAGCGUUGUCCGGAAUCACUGGGCGUAAAGGGCGCGUAGGCGGCAUGCCAAGCGUGUGGUGAAAGCCCGGGGCUCAACCCCGGGUCGGCCGUGCGGACUGGCGUGCUCGAGCACUGUAGGGGCGGGUGGAAUUCCGGGUGUAGCGGUGGAAUGCGUAGGGAUCCGGAAGAACACCGGUGGCGAAGGCGGCCCGCUGGGCAGGAAGGCUCGCAAGAGCCGGCUGACGCUGAGGCGCGACAGCGUGGGGAGCAAACAGG